rnacentral:rRNA from 1 species
CAGUCGCCACGGUAACACCAGCAGCCCAAGUGGUGGUCGCGUUUAUUGGGCCUAAAGCGCUCGUAGCCUGACCGGUAAGUUCCCCGUGAAAUCGGGUCGCCCAACGAUUCGGCUUGCGGGGAAUACUGUCGGUCUUGGGGCCGGGAGACGCCGAGGGUACUCCGGGGGUAGCGGUGAAAUGCUGUAAUCCUCGGGGGACUACCAGUGGCGAAGGCGCUCGGCGAUAACGGGCCUGACGGUGAGGGGCGAAAGCUGGGGGCGCGAACGGGAUUAGAUACCCCGGUAGUCCCUGUCUCUUAUA